rnacentral:rRNA from 1 species
AGUGAACGCUGGCGGCGUGCUUAACACAUGCAAGUCGAACGAGGUGUUUGGCUGUAGCAAUACAGUCGAGCAUCUAGUGGCAAACGGGUGAGUAACACGUAGGAAACCUUCCCUGAAGAGGAGGAUAACCCAUCGAAAGAUGGGCUAAUACUCCAUGAGACCACACUCUGUCAUAGACAGAGAGAGGUUAAAGAUGGCGCAAGUCAUCGCUUGGACGGUCCUGCGGCCUAUCAGCUAGUUGGUGAGGUAAUGGCUUACCAAGGCGACGACGGGUAGCGGCUAAAGGCGACCGGCCACACUGGCACUGAGACACGGGCCAGACUCCUACGGGAGGCAGCAGUGGGAA